UUCUGUCUCUAAUACAUAAACUUAGUUGACUCUAAUGAACAUGUUCUGUGUUUAAUAGUUGAGUUCUACUCCAUUUACAUUAUAUAUCUCCCCUUUAAUGUGACAAUUGCGUGGUUAAAAUUGGUCCAAAAGAAAAUUCAGAUAGAUCAAGUCAGGAGGCAUCAAAGUCAGAAAUAAAAUUGUGAUUAGUGCCAUUUGUGGUGUUUCUUUAGUUCUAAUUAUCUGUUUGUCUUUGCAACAGAAAUAUUUUUUUUGCCUUUGUUAAAUGCCUCUCGCAAAUUCAAUGAAUAAUGCAAUUCAGGAAUGAUCCUCAUUAAUCGUUACUUUAGAUAGCAGUAAAUUGUGCAAGCCAUAUUAUUUUUUAUGUUGGAAGCUAGAGCUGCAUUCAUAUCAAGUUGAAUGAUUGUAGAAUAUCAGUUUGUGGCUCAAAUUUCCUUUUCUAAAUAGAGGCUUAGAGCUUACACCCCUCCGCACACAAUUGUAAAAACAACUUUCCCUCCUGCCACUAGACACUUCGUACGACUAUGAAAACGAUGUUGCUUGCAAAUCUGGCACAUGGAAGAUCGUCGAGCAGAUGUUUGAAUUAUGAUGGCAGUGGUUCUUAUAAAGGCUCAUUUGUCACGAAAAGACCCAAGUGUUGGGACCGAAGUUUGGAGGGUCUAUGUGAUUGCAUGUGAAGAAAAACAAAGAGAAAGAAACAGAAUGCUGAGGUGGCUAGUGGUAAAACAGAAUUGCCAGGGUGAUGAGGGAAACCCGUUAAAAGGAGGCGAAUCAGAUGUGAGACUGAGGGGAAUGAAUAUUUGAUGGAUUGAAUCUUGGAGUAAAAGAAAGGGGUUUGGAGCUAAUUCGGAGCAAAAAUACGAAGAUUUGGAGACAAAAAUAUGUCUCCCCCAAGUCCGAAGUUUGGCACGGCCAUUCCACCUCCCAGGAUUCCCUUUUGCUGCUUUUGCUUAGAUUUUAAGCUACUCUAUUUAAUUUUGACCGAAAAGUCCGCAGUUUCUUGCGGAACAUUCUAGUGAUGUAUUGCUUAGGUUUUAAGUCGAAUGUAAACUAUAAA